rnacentral:rRNA from 1 species
UAGGACGAACGCUGGCGGCGUGCUUAACACAUGCAAGUCGAGCGAUGAAGCUCCUUCGGGAGUGGAUUAGCGGCGGACGGGUGAGUAACACGUGGGUAACCUGCCUCAUAGAGGGGAAUAGCCUUUCGAAAGGAAGAUUAAUACCGCAUAAGAUUGUAGUACCGCAUGGUACAGCAAUUAAAGGAGUAAUCCGCUAUGAGAUGGACCCGCGUCGCAUUAGCUAGUUGGUGAGGUAACGGCUCACCAAGGCGACGAUGCGUAGCCGACCUGAGAGGGUGAUCGGCCACAUUGGGACUGAGACACGGCCCAGACUCCUACGGGAGGCAGCAGUGGGGAAUAUCGCACAAUGGGGGAAACCCUGAAUGCAGCAACGCCGCGUGAGUGAUGACGGCCUUCGGGUUGUAAAACUCUGUCUUUGGGGACGAUAAUGACGGUACCCAAGGAGGAAGCCACGGCUAACUACGUGCCAGCCGCCGC